UAGAAUAACGUCGAGUCAUUAUGCUCUUUUGUUCGGAGAUAUUCAUGUGUUACAAGGAGAGCUAUAUAGCUACUUAUUUUUGAGUAAAUCAAAUGUUAUCAUCCGGCAUUGAAAAUUGAAAUGUUUUUAUAAAGGAGGAAUUAUUAGGAAUCUUUGGUUAGUUAUUUAAAGGUGGACAGGAGAUAAAUUUUGCACAUACUGCCCGUCAAGCAAAAAGCAGAGAUAUAGAUGAAAACAGCAGUGCACACAAGUGUGAAAUAACGUGCUAAUUUGUGUUAAGUCGAAACAUGGUUGCUCAUCAGGAAUGAUGAGCUGGAUGC
rnacentral:rRNA from 1 species